CCUACGGGUGGCAGCAGUGGGGAAUAUUGGGCAAUGGGCGCAAGCCUGACCCAGCAACGCCGCGUGAAGGAAGAAGGCUUUCGGGUUGGAAACUCCUUUUCUGGGGGACGAACAAAUGACGGUACCCCAGGAAUAAGCCACGGCUAACUACGUGCCAGCAGCCGCGGUCAUACGUAGGUGGCAAGCGUUAUCCGGAUUUAUUGGGUGUAAAGGGCGUGUAGGCGGGAAUGCAAGUCAGAUGUGAAAACUAUGGGCUCAACCCAUAGCCUGCAUUUGAAACUGUAUUUCUUGAGUGCUGGAGAGGCAAUCGGAAUUCCGGGUGUAGCGGUGAAAUGCGUAGAUAUACGGAGGAACACUCGUGGCGAAGGCGGAUUGCUGGACAGUAACUGACGCUGAGGCGCGAAAGCGUGGGGAGCAAACAGGAUUAGAUACCCUUGUAGUC
rnacentral:rRNA from 1 species